GCAACAAUAUGGCUCAGUUCCCCCAUGUGGGACAGUCUAGUGGAGGUGACUCAGGACCUUGUAGGACAGAGUAAUUACGCAGUGGCCACCUUCCCCCCUAGCCUGAGACUUCUGGCAUUCUUGGCUACAGGCUACAUGUUGCUGGCCUGUUCCUGGCAUGUAGCACGGAUGAAGGAGGAGGGCCAGCGUGUGGGCAUGGGAUUCGAGGCCUGCAUCUGUACUGUUUCCUGGCUCACUUGCAGGAUGUGCCUCAUUGUUCCUGGGUCAGCAGCUCCUGGCAUCUGCUAGGGAAUCAAGAGAUCUCUUAGUAGACUGACCAUGCUUGGACAAACCGGCUGUCCUUGGAUGGACCUUCUAUCUCCAUACACACCAUCUGUGACACAGAUCUACCACCUGCCAUGUCCGGCACAGCCUGGUCCUGAUGAAGGAAACGGCAGACAUACAGAUGCAGGCAUGGGAAAGCUGGGGUCACAUGGGCUGUGAUUGCUCUGAUGGCAUGGCGCUUACUAACAUCAGCCUCAACCUCCGCAACAGGGAGGAGUUAGCAGUCUUUUUAGGAGGUCUGUGUAGGGGAGCAGACUCAGGCAAACAGCAUCGGGAGGAAAGAGCUACAACUGUUACAUUUUGCAUGCAUUGGUCAAUCGUUUGUAAACACUGAUACUUAGAUCCGAGGAAGGCUUUGGGGGUGCCUCUGAGCCUCAUUCUGAGGAAGGCUUUCCCAUUCCCACCACUCUGAGGCACUGGGUCCUUGUCAAUCAUACACAGUCACUCAG
rnacentral:lncRNA from 1 species